UACGGAGGGUGCAAGCGUUAAUCGGAAUUACUGGGCGUAAAGCGUGCGUAGGCGGUUCGUUAAGUCUGUUGUGAAAGCCCCGGGCUCAACCUGGGGAAUGGCAAUGGAUACUGGCGAGCUAGAGUGUGUCAGAGGAUGGUGGAAUUCCCGGUGUAGCGGUGAAAUGCGCAGAUAUCGGGAGGAACACCGGUGGCGAAGCGGGUCUCUGGGCCAAAACUGACGCUGAGGAGCGAAAGCGUGGGGAGCGAACAGG
rnacentral:rRNA from 1 species